GAGCAUGAACUUUGUUACUGUAUAGUUUCUAACUUGAGAAAUGUGUUUCUAAAGUGAUUGGUCUCGCUAACCACGAUGAAGAGUCGUCGUGAUAUUCUUCUCUGAGCGUGAAGCAGAUAGAGAUUAAUGAUUAACUUCAUAUGAUCUCUAUCAUGUUUUUGGUAAGUGAGGUGACCGGAGCAGAGUGCU